GACUAAUCCGAUGGCCAAUGUGAUUAGGGCAUCCACCUCGGAUUGUGGAGAUCACGGGUUCGAACCCCGUUCGAGACA